rnacentral:rRNA from 1 species
AUUGAACGCUGGCGGGAUGCUUUACACAUGCAAGUCGAACGGCAGCGCGGACCUCGGUCUGGCGGCGAGUGGCGAACGGGUGAGUAAUGUAUCGGAACGUGCCCAGUAGCGGGGGAUAACUACGCGAAAGCGUAGCUAAUACCGCAUACGCCCUACGGGGGAAAGCAGGGGAUCGUCAGACCCUGCACUAUUGGAUGGGCCGAUAUCGGAUUAGCUAGUUGGUGAGGUAACGGCUCACCAAGGCGACGAUCCGUAGCUGGUCUGAGAGGACGACCAGCCACACUGGGACUGAGACACGGCCCAGACUCCUACGGGAGGCAGCAGUGGGGAAUUUUGGACAAUGGGGGCAACCCUGAUCCAGCCAUCCCGCGUGUGCGAUGAAGGCCUUCGGGUUGUAAAGCACUUUUGGCAGGAAAGAAGCGUCGCAGGCUAAUACCUCGUGGAACUGACGGUACCUGCAGAAUAAGCACCGGCUAACUACGUG